UCCCUGGUAGUAUAUCGGCUAGUACACGCGCCUGUCAUCUGUGCGCGCGAAAGCGGGGUUCGACUCCCCGCCAGGGAG